ACGUAGGGAGCAAGCGUUGUCCGGAAUUACUGGGCGUAAAGGGUGCGUAGGCGGCUUGGCAAGUCAGAUGUGAAAUCCCCGGGCUUAACUCGGGGGGUGCAUUUGAAUCUGCUGAGCUUGAGUGCAGGAGAGGAAAGCGGAAUUCCUAGUGUAGCGGUGAAAUGCGUAGAUAUUAGGAGGAACGCCAGUGGCGAAGGAGGCUUUCUGGACUGUAACUGACGCUGAGGCACGAAAGCGUGGGGAGCAAACAG
rnacentral:rRNA from 1 species